UGGCAGCAGUGAGGAAUUUUGCGCAAUGGGCGAAAGCCUGACGCAGCAACGCCGCGUGAGUGAUGAAGGCCUUCGGGUCGUAAAGCUCUGUCAAGUGGGAAGAACCUAUAUAAUGUUAAUACCAUUAUAUACUGACGGUACCACUGAAGGAAGCACCGGCUAACUCCGUGCCAGCAGCCGCGGUAAUACGGGGGGUGCAAGCGUUAUUCGGAAUCAUUGGGCGUAAAGAGCACGUAGGCGGCCUGGUAAGUCAGAUGUGAAAGCCCGGGGCUUAACCCCGGAAGUGCAUUUGAUACUGUCAGGCUUGAGUAUGGGAGAGGGAAGUGGAAUUCCUGGUGUAGAGGUGAAAUUCGUAGAUAUCAGGAGGAACACCGGUGGCGAAGGCGACUUCCUGGACCAAUACUGACGCUGAGGUGCGAAGGCGUGGGUAGCAAACAGGAUUAGAUACCCCUGUAGUC
rnacentral:rRNA from 1 species